AGUGGCAGACGGGUGAGUAAUGUAUAGGAAUCUACCUAGUAGUACGGAAUAAUUGUUGGAAACGGCAACUAAUACCGUAUACGCCCUACGGGGGAAAAAUUUAUUGCUAUUAGAUGAGCCUAUAUUAGAUUAGUUAGUUGGUGAGGUAAAGGCUUACCAAGACAAUGAUCUAUAGCUGAUCUGAGAGGAUGAUCAGCCACACUGGAACUGAGAUACGGUCCAGACUCCUACGGGAGGCAGCAGUGGGGAAUAUUGGACAAUGGGCGAAAGCCUGAUCCAGCCAUGCCGCAUGAGUGAAGAAGGCCUUCGGGUUGUAAAGCUCUUUCACCGGUGAAGAUAAUGACGGUAGCCGGAGAAGAAGCCCCGGCUAACUUCGUGCCAGCAGCCGCGGUAAUACGAAGGGGGCUAGCGUUGUUCGGAUUUACUGGGCGUAAAGCGCGCGUAGGCGGAUAGAUAAGUCAGAGGUGAAAUCCCGGGGCUCAACCCCGGAAUUGCCUUUGAUACUGUUUAUCUUGAGUGCAGAAGAGGUAAGUGGAAUUCCGAGUGUAGAGGUGAAAUUCGUAGAUAUUCGGAGGAACACCAGUGGCGAANGCGGCUUACUGGUCUGUUACUGACGCUGANGUGCGAAAGCGUGGGGAGCAAACAGGAUUAGAUACCCUGGUAGUCCACGCCGUAAACGAUGGAAGCUAGCCGUCGGCAAGUUUACUUGUCGGUGGCGCAGUUAACGCAUUAAGCUUCCCGCCUGGGGAGUACGGUCGCAAGA
rnacentral:rRNA from 2 species